AGAACGAACGCUGGCGGCAUGCCUAAUACAUGCAAGUCGAACGAACACUUCGGUGUUAGUGGCGCACGGGUGCGUAACGCGUGGGAAUCUGCCCUUGGGUUCGGAAUAACAGUUGGAAACGACUGCUAAUACCGGAUGAUGACGAAAGUCCAAAGAUUUAUCGUCCAGGGAUGAGCCCGCGUAGGAUUAGCUAGUUGGUGAGGUAAAGGCUCACCAAGGCGACGAUCCUUAGCUGGUCUGAGAGGAUGAUCAGCCACACUGGGACUGAGACACCGGCCCAG
rnacentral:rRNA from 1 species